rnacentral:rRNA from 1 species
UACGGGGGGUGCGAGCGUUGUCCGGAAUCACUGGGCGUAAAGGGCGCGUAGGUGGCGUCGUAAGUCUGUGGUGAAAGCCCGGAGCUCAACUCCGGGUCUGCCGCGGAUACUGCGAGGCUUGAGUGCUGUAGAGGGGGGUAGAAUGCCGGGUGUAGCGGUGGAAUGUGUAGAGAUCCGGCAGAAGACCGGUGGCGAAGGCGGCCCCCUGGGCAGUAACUGACACUGAGGCGCGACAGCGUGGGGAGCAAACAGG